rnacentral:lncRNA from 1 species
GGAGAUUGAAAGAAAAGUGCCCUAUAAGCCAAUCGCAAGUGUGUUGCGAUAGAACUUUCUUUACAAUUUUUCAACUCAUAAAAUAAUAUUUAUUAUUAUUUGAGGCAUUGAUUCAUCAUAUUAGCUGCAUCUUAUUAUGUCUAAGAUUAUGAUGAACCCCAAAGAUUCGGAUAAUGAUUUUAGGAGACAUGAAUUGAUCAUGCUAGUGAGACCUAAAAUCUUAAAAUCCUAAUAUUAAAUAUUUC